AUUUGGAGGAUUUGGGCAACACAACUGGCCAGUGGGACUUGUAUGGAUCAGAUGCACCUUCACCAUACAACUCUCUUCAGAGCAAGUUUUUUGAGACAUUUGCUGCUCCAUUCACCAAGAGAGGUCUGUUGCUCAAAUUCUUGAUAUUGGGAGGUGGCUCUACCCUCGCCUACUUCAGUUCCACAGCAUCAGGGGAUAUCCUACCAAUCAAGAAAGGUCCACAACUUCCACCUAAGCUCGG
rnacentral:misc_RNA from 1 species